rnacentral:rRNA from 1 species
AGUCGAGCGGACAGAAGGGAGCUUGCUCCCGGAUGUUAGCGGCGGACGGGUGAGUAACACGUGGGUAACCUGCCUGUAAGACUGGGAUAACUCCGGGAAACCGGAGCUAAUACCGGAUAGUUCCUUGAACCGCAUGGUUCAAGGAUGAAAGACGGUUUCGGCUGUCACUUACAGAUGGACCCGCGGCGCAUUAGCUAGUUGGUGAGGUAACGGCUCACCAAGGCGACGAUGCGUAGCCGACCUGAGAGGGUGAUCGGCCACACUGGGACUGAGACACGGCCCAGACUCCUACGGGAGGCAGCAGUAGGGAAUCUUCCGCAAUGGACGAAAGUCUGACGGAGCAACGCCGCGUGAGUGAUGAAGGUUUUCGGAUCGUAAAGCUCUGUUGUUAGGGAAGAACAAGUGCAAGAGUAACUGCUUGCACCUUGACGGUACCUAACCAGAAAGCCACGGCUAACUACGUGCCAGCAGCCGCGGUAAUACGUAGGUGGCAAGCGUUGUCCGGAAUUAUUGGGCGUAAAGGGCUCGCAGGCGGUUUCUUAAGUCUGAUGUGAAAGCCCCCGGCUCAACCGGGGAGGGUCAUUGGAAACUGGGAAACUUGAGUGCAGAAGAGGAGAGUGGAAUUCCACGUGUAGCGGUGAAAUGCGUAGAGAUGUGGAGGAACACCAGUGGCGAAGGCGACUCUCUGGUCUGUAACUGACGCUGAGGAGCGAAAGCGUGGGGAGCGAACAGGAUUAGAUACCCUGGUAGUCCACGCCGUAAACGAUGAGUGCUAAGUGUUAGGGGGUUUCCGCCCCUUAGUGCUGCAGCUAACGCAUUAAGCACUC